UUCAAAACUUCUAAUAUUAACGGAGCCCAGAACUCUACAGGGAAAUGACAAAACAGGGCCUGAAGAGCUAUGGACAUGCCUACUGAGAGCAACCAGGAGGGACUCCCUGGAGGAGGCACACUUCAGGAAGAAGGGAGGCUCUGGGCCCGGGACAUGCCACCCUGCAGUCCAGACCCUGCUAACCACACAAGCAGGUGCCUCAGCUGCCCUGGGGAGGUGGGAGACCAUCCAGUGUGACCUCAGCGAGGGCGCUUUGUGACAGAGUGAUGACUGAGGCUGCUGAGGCUGACCUUCGUGGGUCCUCUGGAGUUGGAGAUGCUUUGCCAUUAACCGAAGUUAGACCUAAGCCAGGUGUGGUGUCUGAGGCCGGUCAUCCCAGCGCUCAGGAGACAGAGUCCAGAGCUGGUAAAGACCCUUCUCUCGUCCUUGGAAGUCCAGGGAAGAGGUCACCGUUUCUUCAGCCCACACUCUGUGGCGGAUGGAACACACGUUAUCAGCUGGAACUAUCAUUAACUUCAUUUUAACAGAGGCUCUAAGAGACAGGAAUGGUGACUAUCGAUCUUGACAGCUCCAGAGAGUGAGUCGCCCAGGGCCUGACACCGCUGUGCAAGAGCAGAGACUAGAUGAGGGAUGAGCCGGCAACUAGGAAGCUGGCUUUCAGAACACACCCAGCCUUCUGCCUCUGGUACAUUGACCCCCAGCUCACUGCUCACCCUGUUCCUUGCUGAUCUACCUGCCCUGGCACUGUGACCUCGUGUCUCUCCUCUCCUUUUGGCCCCAGAUGACCCUGGAGGCUUGUGCUCUGGGUCCAAAUCCAUCACAGGAAGGGGAAGGUGCCCCUUCUCUGCCUCUCCCACUCAUGUUCCUCUGCAGCUACAGAAAAAGGAUGGGCCAGGAUGGAGGAGGAGUUCCCUCAGCUCACUUCCUACACUCCUCCAUCACCUCCCAUCCGCCACUCUCUACCUCCAGGUGCUUUGGACAAAUCUCACAUAAGUCUAUGUACACAGCAGCCAAAUGGAGGGAGGGUUCGGGGGAGAUCCACCUGGUAUCUGGCAGUCCCAAAGGGUGGUGUCUCUCAGAGAACCUACAGAAGCCGCAGCCGGUCUAAAUCCUGAGUAGCUACCUGGAGCAACACUCUUUCUUGUUUUCUUCCUCUGUUUUCCUGUUAGUGAACCCACAGGGUUGAUUGUUGUGGUUUGUUUUGGCUCGCAGUUAUUUUGAGACAGGGUUGCAGGUGCACAGUGUGGCCUCAAGCUAACUGUGCAGCCAAGGAAGACCUUGAAUUUGUGGUCUUCCUGCUUCCAUGGUGCUGAGAUUAUAGGCACACUCCACCGUGUACAGUAUGCGGAGGAGCCUUGAACCCAGCUCUCUACUGAUGGAGCCACACCCCCAACCCAUGUAGACAAAAUCACGUGUCAGGGCUGGAGCAAUGCCUCAGCAGCUAAGAGCACUGGCCAGCUCUUGCCAGGAACUAAACCUGGUUCCCAGCGUCCAUGUGGUGGCUGACAAACUUCUCUAACUCUGGCUCUCAAAGAUCUGAUGCCCUCUCCAGGCCACCACAGUUACUGCACCCAU